rnacentral:rRNA from 1 species
GGGGGGGGGGGGGGGGGGGGGGGGGGGGGGGGGGGCGGGGGGGGGGGGGCGGCGGGUGUGGGGUGCUCGGGGGGCGAGCGGGUGAGUGACACGUGAGUAACCUGCCCUUGACUUUGGGAUAGCUUCAGGAAACUGGGGCUAAUCCCGGAUAGGAGCUCCUCCUGCAUGGUGGGGGUUGGAAAGUUUCGGCGGUUGGGGAUGGACUCGCGGCUUAUCAGCUUGUUGGUGUGGUAGUGGCUUACCAAGGCUUUGACGGGUAGCCGGCCUAAGAGGGUGACAGGCCACAUUGGGACUGAGAUACGGCCCAGACUCCUACGGGAGGCAGCAGUGGGGAAUAGUGCACAAUGGGCGGAAGCCGGAUGCAGCAACGCCGCGUGCGGGAUGACGGCCUUCGGGUUGUAAACCGCUUUCGCCUGUGACGAAGCGUGAGUGACGGUAAUGGGUAAAGAAGCACCGGCUAACUACGUG